rnacentral:rRNA from 1 species
GACGUAGGGCGCGAGCGUUGUUCGGAUUUACUGGGCGUAAAGGGCGCGUAGGCGGCUCAGUAAGUCAGGUGUGAAAACUCCAGGCUCAACCUGGAGACGCCACUUGAUACUGCUGUGGCUAGAGUCCGGUAGGGGAGCAUGGAAUUCCUGGUGUAGCGGUGAAAUGCGCAGAUAUCGGGAGGAACACCAGCGGCGAAGGCGGCACUCUGGGCUGGAACUGACGCUGAGGAGCGAAAGCGUGGGUAGCAAACAGG